UUGACAGCCUGGGACAGUGAAAUACACAAUCUAUUGACCAGGUACAGGCCUGGCAAUGGCAAUGUAAGCACUCUCAUUCGACCCCCGCCCUACCAAUGUGCCUCAACACUGAUCUGUAGGCACCACUGCAAGGGAUGGGAGGGUAGCUCCUGCUUGCAGCCCAAUCCUUGCCCUCC
rnacentral:sRNA from 1 species